ensembl:lincRNA
CUAUUGCAACGGUCGAGCUCCAGCUCCGCGCGAGGUCGCAGGGACAGGACGUGACGCCGUCAGGCUGUGAACUCGGCUGAGUGGCUGAAUGGCUGUCCUGCGAGGUUCUCAAUCUCCUGAUCGGUAGAAGGAUAGGAAUACUUACUUCUAGGAGUUGUGAAGAUAUGAUGAGAAUGCACGUAAAGACUGUAAUAUGCCUGACAGUCGGUGAGCUUCAGGAGGGGCUGCAGCGGGGCUGGACGUGCGGGCGUCGCAGACGGCUGCAGGACGCGCCGCGGGAGACGCGGUCAGGAGCGGCCCGGGUCAGCCUCGCUCCGCCGCCUGGGAGCCGUGAGCGCACCCCCGGCAGAAUGCUAUAUGAAGAUGUGUUCAGAAACAUAGAGACACAUCAGAUGCCACAGCGGGACUGGGAUAUUCCUGCUGUUAUCCUGGAGCCCUCAAAGAGGACACGUGCCUGUGUAUGUCCUCCAGACGAGCCCGCCCAGAUUUCUUUUCUGCAGGGAAAAUCUAGUCAAAUACUGAAGAGCUCAGUGCUCAUUCUUUGUGUUGUGAUUCUUCUCCCGAAGUUGUUUCUAAGGUUCUGUUUUCUAAGAGUAGACAGAAAUAUACUGUUUUCUAUACGGUUUUCUCAUUUCUUAUUUUUCAACUAUGAAACCCAAUACAAGUUGAAUCCUUGUUCUUGAACAACACAAACAAGAGCAAUGACAAACGACAGUCGCCCCAGUCGAACAGUAAGCCCCCAAAGAGGCGAUUGCUCGAACAAAAUGACCAAAGCACUGCCUAAAAUCCAUGCUUGGUGGAGCCAUACCAUCUAUAUUUAGCUUGGGUUGUUUUUGGAUCUUAUUAAGCCUCUUGCUUAGUCCCAGGCUCUGAUGAUACAUCUAGGUUUGAGGAUCUGGGGUUUAUGAGAGCAAGGGGCUACCAAACACAUCAUUAGCCCAGACAUUACUUUUGAGUGGCCCUGUUUUCAUGUGUGAGAAUGGUGGUAACUCAGAGAGAGAUUAUAAUCCUCUGGGAGAUCUAAAGUAGCGGUAAUAUAUUAUGUUCAGUAAUUAUUUUUUAACAUAUGCUUUCCAUCAUUAUAUUUCAAAAUAAAAAUGCAAAACAAAGACAUAAAUAUAAAAAAUGACAAUACAGAUCUAUAUUUAAGCACAAAGAGUUUUGUAUUUCAUUGAACAAAGCACCAGGUACCAAAUUUGGAAUGUUGGUAUGAUCUCAUGUUUGAUUAAACAGAUGUUCUUAGUAAUGCUGACCAUUUGCACAUCUGCUCUGUUCUUGGCACUGUCCUAAGUGAUUUUCAUAUAUUACCUUGUUUAAUUCUGACACAAAUAAUGAUAUGGUAUAUUUUAACCAUAUAUAUAUAUAUAUGGUAUAUAUGGUGUACUUUGACUAUAUAUAUAUAUAUAGUCAAUUAUAUAUAUAUAUAUAUAAUUUGUCCCCAUUUUACACAUGUGAUAACUGAGACUUGGAAAGGUCAAGCAGCUUGUUGAGGUUCACACAGCCAGUAUGUGUGAGAGCCAGGUAUACUGCCCCUAACAGAUAUAGAGAGACACACAAAACUGUCAGUAAUUGCUCUCUGUGGGUGUGGAUUUUUUUUUCUUUUGGCCUAUCUUUAUUUUUAGUUUUCUUCAAUGAGUUUAUCUGCUUAAUAAAUGAAGUCAGGAGGUAAACUGAACCGUAAGCAUCCUUCAUAUCAAGGCAGAAGGAGGUGAUGGGAGAAAGGAAGGAAGAAGGAGAAGUAAAAGGCUGAUAAGAAAAGGGAGGAAGGAGGAGGAGAGGGGGAGAGAAAGAAGGCUGUCUUCCCGGGGAGGCUGUGAGAUGCUGCGUGCAGCUCUGUGCCCUCCUGCCUGCCUCUGGGGCGGCCUUGAUGCAGUCCAGCUCAGGACCAGAGCAGCGGGAAAUGUCCUGCAGAACACAGGAUUUGGGGAAGGGACUUCACAUCUUUAGAACACUGUGCUCUUUCUAGCUACGGAAAAUUGAGCAUCGCGAUACUGAACUGGGUUGUAAUUGAUCUUGAAGACCAUAUCUCUUACAAAAUGCAGUCAUCUAACAGAAUGCUUUGAGUAUUUUUAGCAGAAGACUAUUAGCCAACAAAAAGUUUGCCCCGUUUCAUCAUCAGGGCAUGUUGUGGGCACCAGGCAGGGACAGAGGAAGGAUUAGCAGCUGGAUGGGUGGGCCAGUCAUGUGGGAGAGCCAGGAUACAGGAGGCCGGCGGCGGGACACAGCAGGGCGACCGUACGGUGUCUCUUUCUAAAUGAGAGGGGAUCGUAUCAUCAUUAACCGGGACAACAGACAUAUAUGAAGAUGGUCACUGAUAAACUGGGAAGUGUGAUCAUCCUGGAGAAGCCAGAUCCUCAGCCUAACCAAGAGGCAGUAGGACUAGACGUAGGGCAUGAACGUAAGGAGCAAAGAGAAACUAAAAGAGAAGGUCCAGCCUCAUGAGUAACCGCAGAAAUUCAAACUAAACCGAAAAAUGUUUCCUUUACUUUUCAAAAUGACGGAAAGUCACUUAAAAAACAAUUAAUCUGCCACUUGUUGAAUUCCUAUAUAUACUGGGUAAGUUCUAGGCCUUUUUGAAAAGAACGUUUAAUAAACUUUUAAUUUUACAAUAGUUUUGCAUUAACAGAAAAAUCACAAGAGUAUUACAGAGAGUUACCAUAUACCUUGUGUUCAGUAUCUUACUAUAUUAUGAUGGUACGCUUGUCGCAAAGAGUUGACUCAUCGGAAAAGACCCUGAGGCUGGGAGGGAUUGGGGGCAGGAGGAGAAGGGGUCGACAGAGGAUGAGAUGGCUGGAUGGCAUCACUGACUCGAUGGAAGCGAGUCUGAGUGAACUCCGGGAGUUGGUGAUGGACAGGGAGGCCUGGCGUGCUGCGAUUCAUGGGGUCGCAAAGAGUCAGACACGACUGAGCGCCUGAACUGAACUGAACUGAACUGAUACGCUUCUAUUAACUAAAGUCCACAUUUCAUUUGGGUUUUCACCUAAUGUCUUUUUUCUGUCCUACUGUUCUGUCCAGGCUAGGACAUUACCUUUAAUCGUCAUGCCUCCGUAGUCUCUCGGACCUCAUUGCUUCUGAAGACCUUGACAGUUUUGAGAAGUGCUGGCCAGGUAUUUUAUAGAGUGCCCUCAGUUUGGGUUGUCUGAUGCUUUCCUUACGGUUAGUCAGGGCUCGCGGGUUGGGAGGGAAGCAGCCCACGGAGGUGAAGGGUCAUCCUCCUCAUAUUCAGGCUGCGCACUACCGACAUAGCCUGUCUCUGCUGGCGCCUGGCCGCCUGGCUGAGGCAGGACGGCAGGCUUCUCCACUGUAAAGGACUCUUCUCCCCUUUCCCUGCUGAGCUCUUGGUCAUACUGAGUGAAGUAAGUCAGACAGAGGAAGACAAAUAUCAUACGUGGAAUCUAAAGCGAAGGGCACAAACGAGCUUACCUACGAUGCUGCAGUGGCCACAGACGUAGAAAAUACCCUCGUGGCUGGGGGCAAGCGAGGGACCAGCUAAAUCGGAAGACUGGGAUUGCCGUUUACACACUGCUGUAUAUAAAACAGAUAACCAAUAAGGACCUAUGGUGCAACACAGGGAGCUCAGCCCUAUACGCUGCAAUGGCCUAUAUGGGAAAAGACCCAGAAAGAGCGGGUAUGUGUGUAUGUGUCACUGAUCCACUUUGCUCUACACCUGAAACUCACACACCAUUGUACGUCAACUGUUCCCCAAUGAAAACAAAACAGAACAGCCCCACUGCACUCUUUGAAAGGCAGUGACUGAGCAAUGCACGUUUAAGGAAUGGGGAGUCAGGCUGCACUUCGUUGAUGGUGGCAUACUCCCAUUAGUUAUUUGGAAUUCUCCUGCCUGGAGACUUCCCUCUCCUCCCUUUCAAUGAUUUAUUUGAUCAUCAGUUUCUAUCAGGGUGGGCUCACGGGUGUGUUCAAUACCGUGCUAUUUGCUUCGUUGCUCUGAUUGUCCCUGCUCUCAACGCUGGGCCCGCGUGUCGGCUCUGCGGGUCUCUGGCAUGCCCCGCCCGCUGUUU